rnacentral:misc_RNA from 1 species
GAUGAAGAACGCAGCGAAAUGCGAUAAGUAAUGCGAAUUGCAGAAUUCAGUGAGUCAUCGAAUCUUUGAACGCACAUUGCGCCCUGUGGUAUUCCGCAGGGCAUGCCUGUUCGAGCGUCAUUUCAACCCUCAAGCUCUGCUUGAUGUUGGGCCCUGCCCGCUGCGGCCGGCCCUAAAGACAGUGGCGGUGCCGCCUGGCCCUGAGCGUAGUACAUCUCUCGCUCCAGUGCCCGGUGGUAGCCUGCCAGAACCCCAACUCUCGUGGUUGACCUCGGAUCAGGUAGGGAUACCCGCUGAACUUAAGCAUAUCAAUAAGCGGAGGA